CAGUAGCCACGGAAUACGGAGGGUGCAAGCGUUAAUCGGAAUUACUGGGCGUAAAGCGCACGCAGGCGGUCUGUCAAGUCGGAUGUGAAAUCCCCGGGCUCAACCUGGGAACUGCAUUCGAAACUGGCAGGCUAGAGUCUUGUAGAGGGGGGUAGAAUUCCAGGUGUAGCGGUGAAAUGCGUAGAGAUCUGGAGGAAUACCGGUGGCGAAGGCGGCCCCCUGGACAAAGACUGACGCUCAGGUGCGAAAGCGUGGGGAGCAAACAGGAUUAGAUACCCCGGUAGUCCCUGUCUCUUAUACA
rnacentral:rRNA from 1 species